rnacentral:rRNA from 1 species
UACGGAGGGUGCAAGCAUUAAUCGGAUUGAUUGGGCGUAAAGGGCGCGUAGGCGGGGAUUUAAGUCAGAUGUGAAAUCCCGGGGCUCAACCCCGGAACUGCAUUUGAAACUGGAUUUCUUGAGGCUAGGCGGAGAAAACGGAAUUCCACAAGUAGCGGUGAAAUGCGUAGAGAUGUGGAAGAACACCUGUGGCGAAAGCGGUUUUCUAGCUUAGACCUGACGCUGAGGCGCGAAAGCAAGGGGAGCAAACAGG